rnacentral:rRNA from 1 species
UACGGAGGGUGCGAGCGUUAAUCGGAAUUAUUGGGCGUAAAGGGCUCGUAGGCGGUGUGUCGCGUCGGCCGUGAAAACCUGCAGCUUAACUGUGGGCUUGCGGUCGAUACGGGCAUCACUGGAGUUCGGCAGGGGAGACUGGAAUUCCUGGUGUAGCGGUGAAAUGCGCAGAUAUCAGGAGGAACACCCGUAGCGAAGGCGGCACUCUGGGCCGAUACUGACACUGAGGAGCGAAAGCGUGGGGAGCGAACAGG